rnacentral:rRNA from 1 species
AUUGAACGCUGGCGGCAGGCCUAACACAUGCAAGUCGAACGGUAACAGGAAGAAGCUUGCUUCUUUGCUGACGAGUGGCGGACGGGUGAGUAAUGUCUGGGAAACUGCCUGAUGGAGGGGGAUAACUACUGGAAACGGUAGCUGAUACCGCAUAACGUCGCAAGACCAAAAAGGGGGACCUUCGGGCCUCUUGCCAUCGGAUGUGCCCAGAUGGGAUUAGCUAGUAGGUGGGGUAACGGCUCACCUAGGCGACGAUCCCUAGCUGGUCUGAGAGGAUGACCAGCCACACUGGAACUGAGACACGGUCCAGACUCCUACGGUAGGCAGCAGUGGGGAAUAUUGCACAAUGGGCGCAAGCCUGAUGCAGCCAUGCCGCGUGUAUGAAGAAGGCCUUCGGGUUGUAAAGUACUUUCAGCGGGGAGGAAGGGAGUAAAGUUAAUACCUUUGCUCAUUGACGUUACCCGCAGAAGAAGCACCGGCUAACUCCGUG